rfam:Lupinus angustifolius cultivar Tanjil chromosome LG16, whole genome shotgun sequence.
AUACCUUUCUCGGCCUUUUGGCUAAGAUCAAGUGUAGUAUCUGUUCUUAUCAGUUUAAUAUCUGAUAUGUGGGUCAUUGGCCCACACGAUAUUAAAUUACUUUUUUAAAGGGGAGAGUCCGUCACAGUAGCUUGCUACUGGGCCUCUCACGUGUCGCCUAAGCGUUGCACUAAAGCUUAGGCCUGGCACACCCUCC